rnacentral:tRNA from 1 species
CCCUUGGUCAAGCGGUUAAGACACCGCCCUUUCACGGCGGUAACACGGGUUCGAAUCCCGUAGGG